rnacentral:rRNA from 1 species
UGAAACAUCUAAGUAACCGCAGGAAAAGAAAUCAACCGAGAUUCCCAAAGUAGUGGCGAGCGAAAUGGGAUGAGCCUUGCACUCUUUAUUUGUAUUGUUAGCCGAACGCUCUGGAAAGUGCGGCCAUAGCAGGUGAUAGCCCUGUAGGCGAAAACAGUAUGAAAGAACUAGGUGUGCGACAAGUAGGGCGGGACACGUGAAAUCCUGUCUGAAGAUGGGGGGACCAUCCUCCAAGGCUAAAUACUCGUGAUCGACCGAUAGUGAACCAGUACCGUGAGGGAAAGGCGAAAAGAACCCCGGGAGGGGAGUGAAAUAGAUCCUGAAACCGCAUGCAUACAAACAGUCGGAGCCUCGUAAGGGGUGACGGCGUACCUUUUGUAUAAUGGGUCAGCGACUUACGUUCAGUAGCAAGCUUAACCGUAUAGGGCAGGCGUAGCGAAAGCGAGUCCGAAUAGGGCGUUCAGUUGCUGGGCGUAGACCCGAAACCAGGUGAUCUAUCCAUGGCCAGGAUGAAGGUGCGGUAACACGUACUGGAGGUCCGAACCCACUAACGUUGAAAAGUUAGGGGAUGAGCUGUGGAUAGGGGUGAAAGGCUAAACAAACCUGGAAAUAGCUGGUUCUCUCCGAAAACUAUUUAGGUAGUGCCUCGUGUCUCACCUUCGGGGGUAGAGCACUGUCAUGGUUGGGGGGUCUAUUGCAGAUUACCCCGCCAUAGCAAACUCCGAAUACCGAAGAGUGCAAUCACGGGAGACAGACAUCGGGUGCUAACGUCCGGUGUCAAGAGGGAAACAACCCAGACCGCCAGCUAAGGUCCCCAAAUAUAGCUAAGUGGGAAACGAAGUGGGAAGGCUAAAACAGUCAGGAGGUUGGCUUAGAAGCAGCCACCCUUUAAAGAAAGCGUAAUAGCUCACUGAUCGAGUCGUCCUGCGCGGAAGAUGUAACGGGGCUAAGCUAUAUACCGAAGCUGCGGAUGCGAGCUUGCUCGCAUGGUAGGAGAGCGUUCCGUAAGCCUGCGAAGGUGCCUUGUAAAGGGUGCUGGAGGUAUCGGAAGUGCGAAUGCUGACAUGAGUAGCGAUAAAGGGGGUGAAAGGCCCCCUCGCCGUAAGCCCAAGGUUUCCUACGCAACGUUCAUCGGCGUAGGGUGAGUCGGCCCCUAAGGCGAGGCAGAAAUGCGUAGCUGAUGGGAAGCAGGUCAAUAUUCCUGCACCAUUGUUAGAUGCGAUGGGGGGACGGAUCGCGGAAGGUUGUCCGGGUGUUGGAAGUCCCGGUCGCUGCAUUGGAGAAGGCGCUUAGGCAAAUCCGGGCGCGUAAUUCAAGGGUGUGGCGCGAGCUCCUUAGGGAGCGAAGCAAUUGGAAGUGGUUCCAAGAAAAGCCUCUAAGCUUCAGUCUAACGAUGACCGUACCGCAAACCGACACAGGUGGGCGAGAUGAGUAUUCUAAGGCGCUUGAGAGAACUCGGGAGAAGGAACUCGGCAAAUUGGUACCGUAACUUCGGGAUAAGGUACGCCCUUGUAGCUUGACUGGCCUGCGCCAGGAGGGUGAAGGGGUUGCAAUAAACUGGUGGCUGCGACUGUUUAAUAAAAACACAGCACUCUGCAAACACGAAAGUGGACGUAUAGGGUGUGACGCCUGCCCGGUGCCGGAAGAUUAAAUGAUGGGGUGCAAGCUCUUGAUUGAAGUCCCGGUAAACGGCGGCCGUAACUAUAACGGUCCUAAGGUAGCGAAAUUCCUUGUCGGGUAAGUUCCGACCUGCACGAAUGGCGUAACGAUGGCCACACUGUCUCCUCCCGAGACUCAGCGAAGUUGAAGUGUUUGUGAUGAUGCAAUCUACCCGCGGCUAGACGGAAAGACCCCAUGAACCUUUACUGUAGCUUUGCAUUGGACUUUGAACCGAUCUGUGUAGGAUAGGUGGGAGGCUAUGAAACCGGAACGCUAGUUUCGGUGGAGCCGUCCUUGAAAUACCACCCUGGUUUGUUUGAGGUUCUAACCUUGGCCCGUGAUCCGGGUCGGGGACAGUGCAUGGUAGGCAGUUUGACUGGGGCGGUCUCCUCCCAAAGCGUAACGGAGGAGUACGAAGGUACGCUAGGUACGGUCGGAAAUCGUGCUGAUAGUGCAAUGGCAUAAGCGUGCUUAACUGCGAGACCGACAAGUCGAGCAGGUGCGAAAGCAGGUCAUAGUGAUCCGGUGGUUCUGUAUGGAAGGGCCAUCGCUCAACGGAUAAAAGGUACUCUGGGGAUAACAGGCUGAUACCGCCCAAGAGUUCAUAUCGACGGCGGUGUUUGGCACCUCGAUGUCGGCUCAUCUCAUCCUGGGGCUGUAGCCGGUCCCAAGGGUAUGGCUGUUCGCCAUUUAAAGAGGUACGUGAGCUGGGUUUAAAACGUCGUGAGACAGUUUGGUCCCUAUCUGCCGUGGGCGUUGGAUAUUUGAAGGGGGCUGCUCCUAGUACGAGAGGACCGGAGUGGACGAACCUCUGGUGUACCGGUUGUCACGCCAGUGGCAUCGCCGGGUAGCUAUGUUCGGAAGAGAUAACCGCUGAAAGCAUCUAAGCGGGAAACUCGCCUUAAGAUGAGAUAUCCCUGGGGACUAGAUCCCCUUGAAGGGUCGUUCGAGACCAGGACGUUGAUAGGUCAGGUGUGUAAGCGCAGUAAUGCGUUCAGCUAACUGAUACUAAUUGCCCGUAAGGCUUGAUCC